rnacentral:rRNA from 1 species
UACGGAGGGUGCAAGCGUUAUCCGGAUUUACUGGGUUUAAAGGGUGCGUAGGCGGAUAGGUAAGUCAGGGGUGAAAUCUUCGAGCUUAACUCGGAAAUUGCCUUUGAUACUAUCUAUCUUGAAUAUUGUGGAGGUAAGCGGAAUAUGUCAUGUAGCGGUGAAAUGCUUAGAUAUGACAUAGAACACCUAUUGCGAAGGCAGCUUACUACGCAUAUAUUGACGCUGAGGCACGAAAGCGUGGGGAUCAAAC